UAGAAGUCUAUAUAUUAUUAUGUAGAAUUAAACUUGUGUGUUUUUAAUAGGGAUAAUUACCUAUAUACCUUUUGUACGUUUGAAAAUAUUCGAUUUAUCCCUAUUUUUUUUCUUUCUAAAAUACCCCUCAUAUAUUCCAUCGUUAUUGCAAAAUAACUUCGCAGUUAUCUCCUGUUAAGUUAACUUGAGUUAAACGUGAGUUAAACAUCUACCACAGUUAAAAAAAAUUAAAAUAUCAAUUUUGCCCUUAACUUAAAGACAAAUAAGAAAUGUUGGUGACGGUAGAGGGGUAUAUUAGAAAAGACCAAAAGUCAAAAUACUUUUUGUGCCCCUGACUUUAAGGGCAAAUAAGAAAGUCAGUGAUGGUGGAAAGAGUAUAUAUGAAAGGGCAAAAUAGUAAUUUUACAGAGAUAACAGAAUUAAUUAACAGAUUUUGACUCUAGGGGUAUAUUAGAAAUAGGUUGGAACGUAGAAAGGAUAUUUUCAAUAUUAGCCUUGUAAGAGGGAUAAAUUGGAAAGUCGGGAACUCUUCAGGGGUAUAUAAGUAAUUGCCCUUUUUUAAUAAUACUAAGUCUUUUACAUUAUAAGCCUAUUUUUCAAUAAU
rnacentral:lncRNA from 1 species